rnacentral:rRNA from 1 species
CCUACGGGGGGCUGCAGUGAGGAAUAUUGGUCAAUGGGCGCAAGCCUGAACCAGCCAUGCCGCGUGCAGGAAGAAUGCCCUAUGGGUUGUAAACUGCUUUUAUUUAGGAAUAAACCUCCUUACGUGUAAGGAGCUGAAGGUACUAAAUGAAUAAGCACCGGCUAACUCCGUGCCAGCAGCCGCGGUAAUACGGAGGGUGCAAGCGUUAUCCGGAAUCAUUGGGUUUAAAGGGUCCGCAGGCGGAAGAAUAAGUCAGUGGUGAAAUCUUACAGCUU